rnacentral:misc_RNA from 1 species
UAGAGGAUCUUUGGCCAAGUCUGACAUCACAACAGGGCUUUGUAAUCUUAAUUGAGAGAGAGGAAGUGGGAAGGCAAGAAGAAGAAAGAGAGAAACCCAUGUGGAGAGCAGAGAGCAGAAAUGCAAGAAGGAGAAGAACGAUAAUGGCGUCUUCAUGAGACCCCAGAAAGUUAGUAAGUUAAAAAGGAAAAUUGGAAAAAAG